UGAUGUCCCUCUUAAUGCGGUGUAGGUAAAUAUUAUUAAUAAUCUAAAAGAGCUAGAAGAUAUAAAAGAAGAGGGACAAUCUCAUUCUGGCAGAAAAUAUAUUAAUUGUUUUCCUUUCAUUGAUUAGGACAAUCUUCUGGCCCUUGCAUCCGAGCAGACACUAGUGGAGCUAAAUAUGCUGGUAGUGACAUGGAGAAAUUUGUUUCCUCCCAAGAAGGAAACUGACUCUCAUGUCAUUGAUUUACUUCAAAGUGGAUGUGUGUGAUGUAUUGAAUGGACUGUUUGUACUUUUUCUUU